AUUGAACGCUGGCGGCAUGCCUUACACAUGCAAGUCGAACGGCAGCACGGGAGCAAUCCUGGUGGCGAGUGGCGAACGGGUGAGUAAAGUAUUGGAACGUGCCCAGUCGUGAGGGAUAACGUAGCGAAAGUUACGCUAAUACCGCAUACGAUCUAUGGAUGAAAGCGGGGGAUCGCAAGGCCUCGCGCGAUUGGAGCGGCCGAUAUCAGAUUAGGUAGUUGGUGGGGUAAAGGCUCACCAAGCCGACGAUCUGUAGCUGGUCUGAGAGGACGACCAGCCACACUGGGACUGAGACACGGCCCAGACUCCUACGGGAGGCAGCAGUGGGGAAUUUUGGACAAUGGGCGCAAGCCUGAUCCAGCCAUGCCGCGUGCAGGAUGAAGGCCUUCGGGUUGUAAACUGCUUUUGUACGGAACGAAAAGGUUUGACUUAAUACGUUGGACUCAUGACGGUACCGUAAGAAUAAGCACCGGCUAACUACGUGCCAGCCGCCGCAGUAA
rnacentral:rRNA from 1 species